rnacentral:rRNA from 1 species
CGCGUAGGCGGUUUGGUAAGUCGGAUGUGAAAGCCCAGGGCUUAACCUUGGAAUUGCAUUCGAUACUGCUUAACUAGAGUAUGGUGGAGGGAAGUGGAAUUUCCGGUGUAGCGGUGAAAUGCGUAGAUAUCGGAAGGAACACCAGUGGCGAAGGCGACUUCCUGGGCCAAUACUGACGCUGAGGUGCGAAAGCGUGGGGAGCAAACA